rnacentral:rRNA from 1 species
AUUGAACGCUGGCGGCGUGCCUAACACAUGCAAGUCGAGCGGUAACAGGUNUAGCAAUACAUGCUGACGAGCGGCGGACGGGUGAGUAACGCUUGGGAAUCUGCCUGUUAGUGGGGGACAACCCGGGGAAACUCGGGCUAAUACCGCAUACGCACUACGGUGGAAAGCCGGGGACCGCAAGGCCUGGCGCUAACAGAUGAGCCCAAGUCGGAUUAGCUAGUUGGUAGGGUAACGGCCUACCAAGGCGACGAUCCGUAACUGGUCUGAGAGGACGACCAGUCACACCGGAACUGAGACACGGUCCGGACUCCUACGGGAGGCAGCAGUGGGGAAUAUUGGACAAUGGGCGAAAGCCUGAUCCAGCGACGCCGCGUGGGUGAAGAAGGCCUGCGGGUUGUAAAGCCCUUUCAGU